CUACGGGACGCUCCAGUAAGGAAUAUUGCGCAAUGGGGGAAACCCUGACGCAGCGACGCCGCGUGGAUGAUGAAGGCCUUCGGGUCGUAAAAUCCUGUCAGAUGGGAAGAAGUGUAUGCAGGUUAAUACCCUGUGUAUUUGACGGUACCAUCAAAGGAAGCACCGGCUAACUCCGUGCCAGCAGCCGCGGUAAUACGGAGGGUGCAAGCGUUGUUCGGAAUUACUGGGCGUAAAGCGCGCGUAGGCGGUUUGUUAAGUCAGAUGCGAAAGUCCACGGCUCAACCAUGGAAGUGCAUUUGAAACUGGCAGACUUGAGUACUGGAGGGGGUGGUGGAAUUCCCGGUGUAGAGGUGAAAUUCGUAGAUAUCGGGAGGAAUACCGGUGGCGAAGGCGACCACCUGGUCAGAUACUGACGCUGAGGUGCGAAAGCGUGGGGAGCAAACAGGAUUAGAUACCCUUGUAGUC
rnacentral:rRNA from 1 species